AGGCAGGCGUCGCUCCAUUUUGAGUUCGACCGAGAAUCAUCCUGAGAAUGUGGCUGCAUCACCCUUGCCUUUACUAAAAACUCACACCAUGAGUCCCAUUUUGAGUUUGACCGAGAAUCAUCCUGAAUGUGAUCAAGCACCUGCUCCAAAAAAGGCAAAUGCAGCACACACAGUCUACCAUGUCAUGGAAGGAUCAGACAGAUAACGACACAGUUCCACAGACUCUGCGAUUCCUGCCCGCACGUGAUCCUGGACCUUAACUGAGGUCUUCUGACUCUCAUUCUCCAUUUAGUCUAUUUAAAAUGUUUUUCCCGGACAGUGUUGUGUUAACUCUGUGCCACAACACAACUGCUCAAGCUGCCAAGUCAAUAGCCAAGGGACACAAAUACAAAUGGAGAGAUGUAAGCAUGAGUGAGAUGUAUCACUACAUUGGGCUCUUAUUUUACAUGGCAAUGGUAAAGUUGCCCUCCAUCAUAGACUACUGGAGACAGAGCAGUAUUUUCACAGUUCCAUUCCCAGCAACAAUUAUGUCAAGGGACAGACACAGGACUAUUUCGGAAUGUACGCAUGAGUCACCCAGAUGCAGACAAAGAAAAUGACAGAAAGAGGGGCACAUCUGAACAUGACCGUCUGUUCAGAGUGAAACCGCUUAUGGACACAAUCCGUAAGACAUGCAAAGCAA